rnacentral:rRNA from 1 species
GAUGAACGCUGGCGGCGUGCUUAACACAUGCAAGUCGAACGGAAAGGCCAGUGCUUGCCCUGGUACUCGAGUGGCGAACGGGUGAGUAACACGUGGGUGAUCUGCCCUGCACUUCGGGAUAAGCCUGGGAAACUGGGUCUAAUACCGGAUAGGACAAUGGUUUGGAUGCCGUUGUGGAAAGUUUUUUCGGUGUGGGAUGAGCUCGCGGCCUAUCAGCUUGUUGGUGGGGUAAUGGCCUACCAAGGCGUCGACGGGUAGCCGGCCUGGGAGGGUGUACGGCGACAUUGGGACUGGGAUACGGCCCAGACUCCUACGGGAGGCAGCAGUGGGGAAUAUUGCACAAUGGGCGCAAGCCUGAUGCAGCGACGCCGCGUGGGGGAUGACGGCCUUCGGGUUGUAAACUCCUUUCGCUAGGGACGAAGCGUAUUUGUGACGGUACCUGGAGAAGAAGCACCGGCUAACUACGUG